UUUUACUCAGUUGUCCCAAAGCAAGCAAGCUUUAAUUUAUUUUCUUUUUAAUUAUCACUACUUGUAAAAGGUAUUUGGAGAAUAUUUUAGCUCCUGGAAAUCUGAAAUAACAACAAUCAAGGCGAGGUGUCAGUGGUGGAGCACUUUGGGGCCGGCGACCAUAAUAUCUAUUAGUUUUAACAUCGUGAUGGAAAAGGAUAGACCGGAUCUAAAAGUUGAAGUUCUAAAUUGGAGGAAAGCCAAUUCUGAUGGUAUCAGGCAAGAACUUUCAAAACCUGAUUGGGCGCUGAUGUUUGCAGAUUUUCAACAGUUCUGUUUUAUCUUGGACUCCUCAACAUUGACUCUGAGCCACUUGAAGUCUCAAGGCAUCAGGUUAAACAUGGGCAAGGAAACCUGCUGUUUGCUGUGGACAUGAACAAUCCCAAGUGUCCUUUGCAAAUGGGGCUUGUAAAGGAGAGACCUGCUCAGUUUGGGUUCCGCAAGGACCAUUUGGCUUCUGAAUCAUUACAAACUUGAUCCAAACAUGCAUAAUAGAGCUGAAUUCCAGAGGAGAGUUCCAACGGGACGUCUUGACAUCAAAGCUAUAUGCAACUAAUUGUAACCUCAAGAAGUCCUAGCAAAUCCAAAGUCAAUGAGAAAUGGAGGAAUAUUCUCCAUUUGUUGGAGUUAUACUUACUACAAAGGAAAAUUGUAGUUGUUAGAGGUCAAACAUCUCAGCUGCAGGACAUCAGUACAUGAGUUCCUCAGGCAGCUAUCCUUAGACAAACGUCCCCAGCUGCUUCAUCAAUGACCUUCCCUCUAUAAGAAGGUCCAGAGAUGGUGAUGUUUGCUGACAAUUGUGCAAUGUUGAGCACCAUUUGUGAUUCCUCAGAUAUUGCGGUAGCCCAAAUGCAGCAAGACCUGGACCAAAUCCUAGGUUGGCAAGAUUCAAACUUGACUGAGAAGUGGCAAGUAACAUUCGUGCCACACAAGUGUAAGACAGUGACCAUCUCCAAAAGAGAAUCCAAACAUUGACAUUCAAUAAAUCCUCUCUCCCCCCCCCAAGUCAACAUUGAUGUAAGUACUGUGGCUGUAAGAACAGGCCAGAGGCUUGAAACGUACAUCACCUUUCUCUCACCCCAGUGCCAGUAAAAGGUGCAAGUCAGGGGUGUCAUGAAGUACUUUCCAAUUGCAUGGUUUAGUGCAACUCCUUAAAAACUCAAGAAGUUUAACACCAUCAGAAUAAAGCUUCACGCUUAACAGGCAUCCCAUUCAAGUUUCAUUCCCUUCAUGACCGACCAGCACAGUGGUAGCAGUGUGUACCAUCUCCAAGACGCACUGCAGGGAACACCACUCUGACAGCACCUUCCGAACCUAUGCCCUUCAGGAGUAUCAGGUGUAUGGGAACAGUGGCACCUUCAAGUCCUCUUCCUAGCCAAACGCAAUCAUGAUUUGAAAAUAUUGCUCUUCCCUUUUCUGUCACUAGGUUAAAAUUCUGGAGCUCCCUCCCUAACAGCACUGUGCAGCAAGUUUGAUCGUUUUCUAGGUUGGGACAGGUGAAACUGUCAUGGACAUGUCUUGCAGUGUACCAAGGACAGCAUCUCACCGGCAAUGGGAUGGAUGCAGGGAGGGGUGAGAGAUCAGCGUUGAGGGGUCCUGACAAAAUCGUGGAAAUAGAUUUUGGACCAAGAAACUGAGAUCAUCCGGCCUGUGUUCCAGAGGAGGUUGAUGGUGCCAUCUUCAACUAUGCAACCUAUUAAAAUUGUUUUAACAUUUUACACCAUUUUUAGAGAUGUGAUAUCUCUUUUCAAACAGCACAUUGGUUGCACUUCAAAUCAGCAGCUCAGCAAGGGAAGGAAGUUGACUAUAAAAUAGGACAGUAAUGACAUUUCAAGCAGCUAUCGUUGCAGCAUGACAUAGGGGGAAAACCACAGUAACUGGGCCAGUCACACAAAGGAAGGCCUGACAAGAGCAUCUCCUUGAAGUAUACAAAACCGCAUCACUGCAAGAAUGAGCUGGUUUCAAUUUGUAGCCAACAAGGGUGACAUCAACAUUUAAAGCGGUGCCCUGAGAUAGGGUGAGGGGUGCUGUACCCUUUCCAAAGUGGAUUGGUCUACUGAGCAGGAGAGACAUGGAUUUCUGCAGCUUGCUAUCGAGCAGGUCUAUCACCUUGCUUACAAAAAAAGGUCUCAGGUGCUUUUACCACAAGGGGUAUCGUUU